rnacentral:piRNA from 1 species
CUGGGAACUGUUUAUUUAGUCAAAA